GUGGGGGAUAUUGGACAAUGGGGGGAACCCUGAUCCAGCGACGCCGCGUGAGUGAAGAAGUAUUUCGGUAUGUAAAGCUCUAUCAGCAGGGAAGAAAAUGACGGUACCUGACUAAGAAGCUCCGGCUAAAUACGUGCCAGCAGCCGCGGUAAUACGUAUGGAGCAAGCGUUAUCCGGAUUUACUGGGUGUAAAGGGAGCGUAGACGGAAUUGCAAGUCUGAUGUGAAAGGCGGGGGCUCAACCCCCGGACUGCAUUGGAAACUGUAAAUCUUGAGUGCCGGAGAGGUAAGCGGAAUUCCUGGUGUAGCGGUGAAAUGCGUAGAUAUCAGGAGGAACACCAGUGGCGAAGGCGGCUUACUGGACGGUAACUGACGUUGAGGCUCGAAAGCGUGGGGAGCAAACAGG
rnacentral:rRNA from 1 species